GCGACAUAAAAAAUACAAAUUGUUUUGCAUUAUAUUGCCUGUAAAAAAACAAUUUGCAUAUUAGUGUUUAAACAUAUAUUGCAGCAUAUUGAUUAAUUAAAAUACAAAUUUAUUGAAUUUCGUAUAAUUCAAUGAUACUUUUACUCGAUAAAGAAAAAUUUGAUAUUAUAUAAAAUAAGAACGAGAAUAGAAUAUUUUAUAAAAUAAAUUUGAGCUUGUUUAUCUUUACCAAAAUCAAAAUCGAUAUAAAAAGGAAGUGGAGGAAAAAAAAAAAAAUUGUACAGUGGAUUAAGAAAUUAUUAUACAACUGCCUCUACUGGACGAUUCUUCGAUUCGAUCUUCUGGAUAUUUUAUUCGUUUUAUUUUUCCUAUGUAUAUAUAGUAUACAUAGAUUAUAUAUAUAUAUAUAUAUUUGAUCGUGUCGUUAUAUAAAUGUGCAAUUAGUGGCGCAGCUCGUGCGAACGAGGAAGCGAGCGAAACUAGCAAAAAAUAAUCGUUUUAAAAAUAUAUUUCUAUCCCGCUUUUAGUUCGGUCAAAUCUUUGUUCGAGUAGUUCCGUUCACCUUUUCAUUCGUGUUCGCGAAAUAUUCACGUCGUCCAAAACCAAGGUCAAAAAUACGACGAACCAUUCGUUCGGCACGAUGCCUACUGCGCCAUUGCAAAUGCUCAUUAUUAGCUAUCAGAUCGAUCUUUUCCAGCGGAUUUCUCAGAUAUUUUCUUUUUUUUUCAUUUUUUUGGAAACGGCACGAUACAAAAAUGUCCCACUUGACAAUUGGAUUGUGGCACAAUUUGAUUGUGUUAAAUUCAUCAAAUCAUUGAAAAAAAAAAAUUUUUUAUAAUAUGGGGUUAUAAAAAUAUAAAAUUGAUCAACCAAAUUAUAUUCUUGUUAUUUUGUCUUAUAUUUAAUGAUAGAAAUUUGUUUUAGUUUUUUCUGAUAAAAAACAAUAUUGAACAUUUUCCUUGGUAAAAAAAAUAUUCGAAUCAAAGUGUACAAUACAAUUGAUCAUUUCUUAAGUGACAAGAUUUAAAAGAGGAGGCUGCAUAUAGACACGUACAUCGUCGCUAUAAUAUUAUCGCCGCGAUAAUAAACAGCGAUGAGCAUCUGGAAGAACUGGCAAACAUUUUACUUUUUCAGAAAGGAAGGAGAACAUUGAGUACGCGUGUUGGCUGACAUCGCGAGAUCGAGAAACGUAUUCACAUUUUCGCUACAUUAAAACAAUAUAUUUCUACUCCUUUCUCUCGAAAGAAUCUCAUAUUCAUACAAUCGCACGGUAUUCUGAAAAAAACGAAAUCUUUCUGACUCAUCGUUACCGAUCGUGUCGAAUGUUCUCAUUUAACAGCAAAAAGAAAAAAGAGAAAAAAAAAAAAAGAGAAGAAAG